rnacentral:snRNA from 1 species
AGCUUUGCGCAGUGUGAGUAUCAUAGCCAAUGAGGUUUAUCCGAGGCGUGAUUAUUGCUAAUGGAAAACUUUUCCCAAUCCCCCGACUUGAAAUACAGUCGGCAUUGGCACCAA